UGGCUGUAGCUAAAUGAAUGAAUAGGAGUUAACUGACCGGUUGUUGUUUGCGGGAUUCCUUCCAACUGGAGGGAUCUCGCAUGUCGACAUAUCUGCUUACCGAACUCCUUACAUUU